rnacentral:lncRNA from 1 species
GGAGGGACCCAGAGGAAGGCAAUUGAAUCAUGGGGGCCAGUCUUUCCCAUGCUGUUCUCCUGAUAGUGAAUAAGUCUCACAAGAUCUGAUGAGUUUAUCAGGGGUUUCCGCUUUUGCUUCUUCCUCAUUGUCUUUCGCUGCCACCAUGUAAGAAGAGUCUUUUGCCUCCCGUCAUGAUUCUGAGGGCUCCCCAACUACAUAGAACUAUAUUUCUUCAAAGAACAAAAAAAAACCAGUAUGAAGCAUAUGAAACUUCAAGCAGAACAAACUUGGUUUGUCUCCUUCCAGAGAAAAGGUACUGAAGUUCCCAUACCUGUAGAGCUGCAAAGAUCAACAUUUCUUCCUCUGUGCAAUCAAUUUCUUCUAAGAGAAUGGCCCACCUGGCUUGCUCAUAGAGUUGGUUUAUUCGGACAGCAUCAUACUAGAGACAAAAACAGAGGUGUGUGUGUAAUGAGGUAUAUUUAUAUCCCACAAUACAAAGAUUCUGAAACAACUGAGGCCAUUCUCUGUUAAUCAGAUGCAGCAAACUUCAGCUCAGGGUGUUUCCCCGCACAAGCUCUCUCUUUGCCUGCUGCCAUCCAUGUAAGACGUGACUUGCUCCUCCUUGCCUUCCUCCAUGAUUGUGAGGCCUCCCCAGCCAUGUGGAACUGUAAGUCCAUUAAACUUCUUUCUUUUGUAAAUUGCCCAGUCUCAGAUAUGUCUUUAUCAGCAGCAUGAAAAUGAACUAAUAGACUUCCCUUCCUUGCUCCCUCUCCCUUUCCUUUUUCCAGUUUUUUAAACAACCAACAAAGGUCCUGCUUCCUUUUUUCUUUAUAGAUCACAGAUCUUGAACGUCUUUCUUUUACACAUUGCCCAUCAGCUCAUUUUAUCCCUGUGGUGACACCCUCAUGCCCUGCCCAUUUCUUCUUGGUCCUCACCAUUUCAGCACACCUGGCUUCUGGCGGAAUCUAGACCAUGCAUCUUUCUGCCAGAGGCUUUGCUCUGAUGGCUCACCAGGGUCUGCACUGCAACAGCCCACAUAUUCCGGGAAUUAAUGCUCCCCAAGAGCAACCUUCAGUGACUAUCCAGGGUGCUGCAUAAACAUCCUUACCCUGAGGCUGUGUCUACACUGUCUCCCAGGGGUCACCAGCUGCUGAAGUGUAACCUGAUUGGUGACACUCUUCUCUUUUCAGUCUUACUUCCCUGUCCCCAACAGUAUUUCCUGGCAUCACCUCCCAAAUAAACUAUUUGUACUUGA